rnacentral:tRNA from 1 species
GCCGGAGUGGUGGAAUUGGUAGACACGAUGGAUUCAAAAUCCAUUGCUAGCGAUAGCGUGCCGGUUCAAGUCCGGCCUCCGGCACCA